CAGCUAUGGAAAACACAAAACUAUCAGUCAUUGUCAAAUACUCCAUAAAUGGAGACAGAGAAGGGGUUCAGUUCUCUGUGUAACAAGGACAGAGGAGAAAGUUCCAUACCAAGUAAUAUAGGCAGUUGCAACAUCCAUGAAGAGUUGUUAAUUGGAGCACAAGGCAUCUGCAGUGUCAAAUCUACAGAGACAAGUGCACCUGGAGACAAAUGACCAGACUACCAUAAAACAGAAGCUUAAUUAUGUUCACUUACAUUUUCAAAUUAUUCCCAACAAAUUACCCUGUUUUUCCAGGCAGAAGAAGCAGAG
rnacentral:lncRNA from 10 species